ACGCACGCUGGCGGCGUGCUUAACCCCUGCACGUCGAACGGAAAGGCCCUGCUUUUGUGGGGUGCUCGAGUGGCGAACGGGUGAGUAACACGUGAGUAACCUGCCCUUGACUUUGGGAUAACUUCAGGAAACUGGGGCUAAUACCGGAUAGGAGCUCCUGCUGCAUGGUGGGGGUUGGAAAAUUUCGGCGGUUGGGGAUGGACUCGCGGCUUAUCAGCUUGUUGGUGGGGUAGUGGCUUACCAAGGCUUUGACGGGUAGCCGGCCUGAGAGGGUGACCGGCCACAUUGGGACUGAGAUACGGCCCAGACUCCUACGGGAGGCAGCAGUGGGGAAUAUUGCACAAUGGGCGGAAGCCUGAUGCAGCAACGCCGCGUGCGGGAUGACGGCCUUCGGGUUGUAAACCGCUUUCGCCUGUGACGAAGCGUGAGUGACGGUAAUGGGUAAAGAAGCACCGGCUAACUACGUG
rnacentral:rRNA from 1 species